CCUAGGGGGGAGCAGCAGUGGGGAAUAUUGGGCAAUGGGCGCAAGCCUGACCCAGCAACGCCGCGUGAAGGAAGAAGGCUUUCGGGUUGUAAACUUCUUUUCUCAGGGACGAAGCAAGUGACGGUACCUGAGGAAUAAGCCACGGCUAACUACGUGCCAGCAGCCGCGGAAAUACGUAGGUGGCAAGCGUUAUCCGGAUUUACUGGGUGUAAAGGGUGCGUAGGCGGUCCGUUAAGUCAGCGGUAAAAUUGCGGGGCUCAACCCCGUCGAGCCGUUGAAACUGGCAGACUUGAGUUGGCGAGAAGUACGCGGAAUGCGCGGUGUAGCGGUGAAAUUCAUAGAUAUCGCGCAGAACUCCGAUUGCGAAGGCAGCGUACCGGCGCCAGACUGACGCUGAGGCACGAAAGCGUGGGGAUCGAACAGGAUUAGAUACCCUUGUAGUC
rnacentral:rRNA from 1 species